CUAAGUUCGGAUUGCAGGCUGCAACCCGCCCUGCAUGAAGUCGGAAUCGCUAGUAAUCGCGAGUCAGCAUAUCGCGGUGAAUACGUUCCCGGGCCUUGUACACACCGCCCGUCACACCAUGAGAGUCUGUAACACCCAAAGCCGGUGGGAUAACCUUUAUAGGAGUCAGCCGUCUAAGGUAGGACAGAUGAUUAGGGUGAAGUCGUAACAAGGUAUC
rnacentral:rRNA from 1 species